UACAGAGGUGGCAAGCGUUGUUCGGAAUUACUGGGCGUAAAGGGCGCGUAGGCGGCCUACUAAGUCAGACGUGAAAUCCCCCGGCUUAACCUGGGAACUGCGUCUGAUACUGGAAGGCUUGAGUUCGGGAGAGGGAUGCGGAAUUCCAGGUGUAGCGGUGAAAUGCGUAGAUAUCUGGAGGAACACCGGUGGCGAAGGCGGCAUCCUGGACCGACACUGACACUGAGGAGCGAAAGCCAGGGGAGCAAACGGG
rnacentral:rRNA from 1 species